GAUGAACGCUGGCGGCGUGCCUAAUACAUGCAAGUCGAGCGAACAGACGAGGAGCUUGCUCCUCUGACGUUAGCGGCGGACGGGUGAGUAACACGUGGAUAACCUACCUAUAAGACUGGGAUAACUUCGGGAAACCGGAGCUAAUACCGGAUAAUAUAUUGAACCGCAUGGUUCAAUAGUGAAAGACGGUUUUGCUGUCACUUAUAGAUGGAUCCGCGCCGCAUUAGCUAGUUGGUAAGGUAACGGCUUACCAAGGCAACGAUGCGUAGCCGACCUGAGAGGGUGAUCGGCCACAAUGGAACUGAGACACGGUCCAGACUCCUACGGGAGGCAGCAGUAGGGAAUCUUCCGCAAUGGGCGAAAGCCUGACGGAGCAACGACGCGUGAGUGAUGAAGGUCUUCGGAUCGUAAAACUCUGUUAUUAGGGAAGAACAAAUGUGUAAGUAACUAUGCACGUCUUGACGGUACCUAAUCAGAAAGCCACGGCUAACUACGUG
rnacentral:rRNA from 1 species